rnacentral:rRNA from 1 species
GACGAACGCUGGCGGCGUGCUUAACACAUGCAAGUCGAACGGAAAGGCCCUGCUUUUGUGGGGUGCUCGAGUGGCGAACGGGUGAGUAACACGUGAGUAACCUGCCCUUGACUUUGGGAUAACUUCAGGAAACUGGGGCUAAUCCCGGAUAGGAGCUCCUGCUGCAUGGUGGGGGUUGGAACUUUUCGGCGGGUGGGGAUGGGCUCGCGGGUUAUGAGCUUGUUGGGGGGGGGGUGGCUUCCAAAGCCUUUGACGGGUACCCGGCCGGGGGGGGGGACCGGGCACAAUGGGGCUGCGGUAGGGCACAGACUGCUAUGGGGGGCAACAGUGGGGAAUAUUGCACAAUGGGAGGAAGCCUGAUGCAGCAACGCCGCGUGCGGGAGGACGGCCUUCGGGUUGUAAACCGCUUUCGCCUGUGACGAAGCGUGAGUGACGGUAAUGGGUAAAGAAGCACCGGCUAACUACGUG